rnacentral:lncRNA from 1 species
CUCAGAUGCUCAAGCCACUGCCUCUUCCUGCUGCCUGGGGAUCCAGAUGUAGAACUCUCAGCUCCUUAUCCAGCACCAUUCUGCCUGCGUGCAUCCAUGCUUCCUGCUAUGAAGAUAAUGGACUAAACCUCUGAACCUGUAAACCAGCCCCAUGCUGUGCUGGAGAAGAAAAAGAAGGUUCCUGCUGUGCCAGAAACCCUUAAGAAAAAGUGAAGGAUGGCGACGAAAGCUGGAAACUUCUAUGUGCCUGUAGAACCCAAGCUGGCAUUUGUUAUCCGAAUCCGAGGUAUCAAUGGUGUAAACCCGAAGUCUGCAAGGUGUUACAGCUGCUCUGUCUUUGUCAGAUCUUCA